rnacentral:rRNA from 1 species
GAGGUAGGAGGGAGGCGGAAUCCGGAGUUACUGGGCGUAAAGAGCGUGUAGGCGGCAGUGUCAGUGGCUUGUGAAAGCGCCCGGCUAAACUGGGCGAGGACAGGUCAGACUGCACCGCUAGAGGACGAUAGAGGGGUGCUGAAUUCCGGGUGUAGCGGUGAAAUGUGUAGAGAUCCGGAGGAACACCAGUGGUGCAGACGGCGCCCUGGGUCGUACCUGACGCUGAGACGCGAAAGCGUGGGGAGCCAACGGG